rnacentral:rRNA from 1 species
UGCAGUAGAACGCUGAGGUCUGGUGCUUGCACUAGACCAAGGAGUUGCGAACGGGUGAGUAACGCGUAGGUAACCUACCUCAUAGCGGGGGAUAACUAUUGGAAACGAUAGCUAAUACCGCAUGAGACUGGGGUUCACAUGAACCCGAGUUAAAAGGAGCAAAAGCUUCACUAUGAGAUGGACCUGCGUUGUAUUAGCUAGUUGGUGAGGUAAAGGCUCACCAAGGCGACGAUACAUAGCCGACCUGAGAGGGUGAUCGGCCACACUGGGACUGAGACACGGCCCAGACUCCUACGGGAGGCAGCAGUAGGGAAUCUUCGGCAAUGGGGGGAACCCUGACCGAGCAACGCCGCGUGAGUGAAGAAGGUUUUCGGAUCGUAAAGCUCUGUUGUUAGAGAAGAACGGUAAUGGGAGUGGAAAAUCCAUUAUGUGACGGUAACUAACCAGAAAGGGACGGCUAACUACGUGCCAGCAGCCGCGGUAAUACGUAGGUCCCGAGCGUUGUCCGGAUUUAUUGGGCGUAAAGCGAGCGCAGGCGGUUUGAUAAGUCUGAAGUUAAAGGCUGUGGCUUAACCAUAGUAUGCUUUGGAAACUGUCAAACUUGAGUGCAGAAGGGGAGAGUGGAAUUCCAUGUGUAGCGGUGAAAUGCGUAGAUAUAUGGAGGAACACCGGUGGCGAAAGCGGCUCUCUGGUCUGUAACUGACGCUGANGCUCGAAAGCGUGGGGAGCAAACAGGNUUAGAUACCCUGGUAGUCCACGCCGUAAACGAUGAGUGCUAGGUGUUANGCCCUUUCCGGGGGCUUAGUGCCGGAGCUAACGCAUUAAGCACUCCGCCUGGGGAGUACGACCGCAAGGUUGAAACUCAAAGGAAUUGACGGGGGCCCGCACAAGCGGUGGAGCAUGUGGUUUAAUUCGAAGCAACGCG